ACUAUAGAUCCUCCUAAUUUGGGAGGGGUUUAAAAGAAAAAAAAAAGCCACAUUGGGAUUGGAGAGAUCUUUACUUGAUAAAACUAAUCUUGUUGAGAAUUGACAUCAAUUAAGGAAUUCCAAGGUAUUUGUUUGUAGCUCUUAAACCACUUUUAAUUGUUAAAGAUCAUACAUUUUUACUUGCAGAUUGAUGCUGCAUUAGUUGAAGGAAUACAUGCGUUGAAGCAAGUCUUAUCCAAAGGCUUCUCUGAAAGUUCUAAAUGCUUCAAUACCGAGCAGAAGUACAAGCAUAUAAGAUUGCAGACGUUGCCAACAUGAUAUCACGCUUCGAGCUUGGUGUUUAAUAACCACCCAUGCAUCUCUUUACUUAAGAGUGGCCAGCCUUUCCUCUUUACCACUUCAAACUGGAAGACAGGUGUAAUCACACACCAAAAUCCAUGGCAGAUCAUAUCACCUAAGCAACUUCUGGCUGAUAUUCUAUUGUAAAUAUACUGUUUAGGCAACUGUAUUGGGUUUGAAUCAGAUGGAAGUUGAUUUUGCUCAAGCUGGAAGUUAAUAGUUAGCCUAGUCCAUAGUCGUUGCUGGAUGCAGAGAUCUCCACUGUUGUCAUUUCACCUUCUUCUCGAAUAUGCUCUGGAUGUUUUCAGUUAUAGAGUGAAUUACAUAUUGCAGGCGCUCUCUUCCUGUACCAAAUACCAUACUCCUGCCCCCACCCCCCAACCCCCCCACAAAAAAAAAAA